UCAAUUUAUACGAUGUGCACAACUAGUGAUAAUACACAAUAGAUGGAAUAUUAAAGUAAAGACAUGAAAAACGUUAUAAUUAUAUUAUAUUAUGAUAUUGUGUACAUAUGGCGUAUUUAUAAAUAUUAUAAAUCUAUAAAAGCCGACGUCCGUCUACGAUCAGUUUAAUAAGUCGAACGCAAGUGAUUCGAUAAACGUCUAUUCAGUGCGAGUUUACUGAAACACACCAAACGACCAGAACCAUCAUGAGAUUUUCGUUAGCAAUUAUUUCGGCGUUCGCAUUUUUAAUCGUCACAGAUGUCUCGUACGUGAACGCAAAACACGUCGCGACUACUACCGAUGGUAUAAUCCGUUCGACAACUACGUUAGAACAUGCUGAUCAAACGAAAGACGAACACACAACGUUAAAGAAACAUCAUGGCAAUAAAUCCAGUAGCACUCUCAUACCAAAAACAUUCACUCCUUUAUCCAUUAUAAAGACUACACCGACACCGGAAGAAGACCGAGAUUGCCCAAAUGGAUAUUAUUAUCACGAACUCUAUGGAUGCGUGAGAAUUUAUGUUUAAAUUUUAGUAAAAAUAUUAAUUUAAUAAUUUAUUUAAAACAUAUUAUAUCAUUUCUCUACGUUAAAAUAAUAUGUACGUAUACCUAUAUAAGUAUUUUAAUAUGUUAUUAUUGUUACUAUCUUACUUUUAUAUUAUUACUAACGUUAAGAUAUCAUGUGAUCGUCGUAUUUUGGCUCCAAAAAGCAAAACGAAUAAUAACUGAUAAAGUUAAAUAUUUUGAAAUAUUUCAAUUUAAAAUUCAGAAUCAGAAACCUAGUUAGAAAUACGUAUUAUAAAUUCCAAAUCAUGUAUUUCAAAUAUAGUUUAUAUUUAUGAUAUGAUAUUUUAUAAGAUUAUGGUAAUAUUAAAUUAUGUUUUUAUUAAAUUUAAAAAAAAAAUAGUUUUUAAUUUUGCUUUAAUUAAAUCGUUUUUAUUUGUACGACCUGUUUAAUUGCGAAUUAUGUUAUUUACCAUAUAAAUUUGAUUAUAAUUUAUACUUUUUAAUUAUUAUUAUCUAUAAAAUAAUAUAAUCUAAAAGUUGUACUGUACAUUUAUUUUGAUAUAUAAUGACUAUAAUUAUGUUAUUAAUGAAUUUUCUAGAAGGGAAAAUUAACAUCUAUCCGAGUAUUAAAUUAAUGUGUUACGAAUAGUAAUUAAUUAUUACAUUGUUAAAAUAAACUAAUAUGAUCCGACGAUAAAAUCAUAAAAUAAAAUUUAGUUUUUGAAACCGAACAAACUGAAAGAUUAAUGACAAUUAAACAAUACAUACAUUUUUCACUAUUCUUCCAACAUCUUUAUCUAUUUUCCCAAGACUAUUUUUAUGAUUUUAUUCACCUUGUUGAAGUUUCGUUAUUCAAUUUGAUAUGAAUUGGAAAAUAUAUUUAAUUUAGUUUUUAAGAAUAUUUUAAGAUAUUAUGCAAACCAUAAUCAUAAAAAAAAAUUAUUUGCAUUUAUUAUCUUUCACCACAUAACAUCCUUUCCGAAAAUGCAGUGUAAGUAGUUGUAAAUUCAAAAUGUUAUUAUUGUAAAAUCUAUUUAUAUCUCUUAUAAAAAUAUAAAUUUAUAUAAUUUUCUUAUUAUUCUUGAUAUACUGCUAUAAACAGUAUAAAGUAUAAAAUAAGUUUUGCUUUCUUUUUACUCACUAAUUAAUUUUAUUUUUUUUUCAAAUGCGUAACUAUUUAGAGUUUAAUUUUAGUGGGUAUGGGUGUUGAUAAAUAAACCUUUCUCAAAGUGCUGAAAUAUAUUGUCAAACCUAAAUAUGUGUUAAAAAAAAAAAACGAUUUCAGCAUAUUACAGUGAUGAUAUUCAACGAAAUGUAUUUUUUUACCUUAAACAACAUUAUUAAUAAUAUUUAAUAUCAUUUUUAAGUAAACCUACGAUAUAAAUAUUGUUAUUAGACAGUACCACAUCUAAUUUUGAUUUUUUUUUUUUGGACCAAGCUAAUGUAAUAUUGCUAUUUCUAGCUUGAAAUAAAUGAUAAGCUCUGUAUCUGCAUAAUGACAUUUUAAACGUACAUAAAAUACAUUUCCUUCUUAUUA